rnacentral:rRNA from 1 species
GUUAUAGGAUCAAGCGACUAAGUGCAUAUGGUGGAUGCCUUGGCGAUCACAGGCGAUGAAGGACGUAGUAGCCUGCGAAAAGCUACGGGGAGCUGGCAAACAAGCUUUGAUCCGUAGAUGUCCGAAUGGGGGAAACCCACUGCGCAAGCAGUAUCCCUGGCUGAAUACAUAGGCCAGUGGAGGCGAACCGGGUGAACUGAAACAUCUCAGUAGCUCGAGGAAAAGAAAUCAACCGAGAUUCCGAAAGUAGUGGCGAGCGAAAUCGGAAGAGCCUUUACGUUUUAGCACGCAAGAUAGUCGAACGGAAUGGAAAGUCCGGCCGUAGCAGGUGAUAGCCCUGUAGGCGAAAUCUUGUGUGUGGAACUAAGCGUAAGAAAAGUAGGGCGGGACACGUGAAAUCCUGUUUGAAGAUGGGGGGACCAUCCUCCAAGGCUAAAUACUCGUG